AUAAAAUAAAAUAAAAUAAAAUAAAAUUGGAUCACUACGGAGAGGAUUAACCCAGCCCCUGCAUAAGGAGAACACGCAAAUUCGUGAAGCAUCUCCUAUUUUC